GACGAACGCUGGCGGCGUGCCUAAUACAUGCAAGUUGAGCGCUGAAGGUUGGUACUUGUACCAACUGGAUGAGCAGCGAACGGGUGAGUAACGCGUGGGGAAUCUGCCUUUGAGCGGGGGACAACAUUUGGAAACGAAUGCUAAUACCGCAUAAAAACUUUAAACACAAGUUUUAAGUUUGAAAGAUGCAAUUGCAUCACUCAAAGAUGAUUCCGCGUUGUAUUAGCUAGUUGGUGAGGUAAAGGCCCACCAAGGCGAUGAUACAUAGCCGAACUGAGAGGGUGAUCGGCCACAUUGGGACUGAGACACGGCCCAAACUCCUACGGGAGGCAGCAGUAGGGGAUCUUCGGCAAUAGACGAAAGUCUGACCGAGCAACGCCGCGUGAGUGAAGAAGGGUUUCGGAUCGUAAAACUCUGUUGGUAGAGAAGAACGUUGGUGAGAGUGGAAAGCUCAUCAAGUGACGGUAACUACCCAGAAAGGGACGGCUAACUACGUG
rnacentral:rRNA from 1 species